rnacentral:rRNA from 1 species
GGAUUAUUGGGCGUAAGCGCGCGUAGGCGGUUUUUUAAGUCUGAUGUGAAAGCCCACGGCUCAACCGUGGAGGGUCAUUGGAAACUGGAAAACUUGAGUGCAGAAGAGGAAAGUGGAAUUCCAUGUGUAGCGGUGAAAUGCGCAGAGAUAUGGAGGAACACCAGUGGCGAAGGCGACUUUCUGGUCUGUAACUGACGCUGAUGUGCGAAAGCGUGGGGAUCAAACAGGAUUAGAUACCC